AACGCGAAGAACCUUACCCAGGCUUGACAUGCAGAUGACGGCAACAGAGAUGGUGCUUCUCGUAAGAGCGUCUGCACAGGUGCUGCAUGGCUGUCGUCAGCUCGUGCCGUGAGGUGUUGGGUUAAGUCCCGCAACGAGCGCAACCCUUGUCACUAGUUGCCAACACGUUAGGGUGGGAACUCUAGUGAGACUGCCUAGGUUAACUAGGAGGGAGGUGAGGAUGACGUCAAGUCCGCAUGGCCUUUAUGUCUGGGGCUACACACGUGCUACAAUGGCCGGUACAGAGGGCAGCUAAGCCGCGAGGCGGAGCAAAUCCCAGAAAGCCGGCCUCAGUUCAGAUUGCAGUCUGCAACUCGACUGCAUGAAGUCGGAAUUGCUAGUAAUGGCGCGUCAGCUAUAGCGCCGUGAAUACGUUCCCGGGUCUGUACACACCG
rnacentral:rRNA from 1 species